GACGAACGCUGGCGGCGUGCCUAAUACAUGCAAGUAGAACGCUGAAGGAGGAGCUUGCUUCUCCGGAUGAGUUGCGAACGGGUGAGUAACGCGUAGGUAACCUGCCUGGUAGCGGGGGAUAACUAUUGGAAACGAUAGCUAAUACCGCAUAACAGUAGAUAUCGCAUGAUAUCUGCUUGAAAGGUGCAAUUGCAUCACUACCAGAUGGACCUGCGUUGUAUUAGCUAGUUGGUGAGGUAACGGCUCACCAAGGCGACGAUACAUAGCCGACCUGAGAGGGGGAUCGGCCACACUGGGACUGAGACACGGCCCAGACUCCUACGGGAGGCAGCAGUAGGGAAUCUUCGGCAAUGGACGGAAGUCUGACCGAGCAACGCCGCGUGAGUGAAGAAGGUUUUCGGAUCGUAAAGCUCUGUUGUAAGGGAAGAACGAGUGUGAGAGUGGAAAGUUCACACUGUGACGGUAUCUUACCAGAAAGGGACGGCUAACUACGUG
rnacentral:rRNA from 1 species